GGGAAGAUGGCUGAGUGGCUUAAAGCGACGUUCUGCUAAGACGUAGACGGAUUAUGAGCGUCCGUGGGUUCGAAUCCCACUCUUCCCG
rnacentral:tRNA from 1 species